rnacentral:misc_RNA from 1 species
GAUGAAGAACGUAGCGAAAUGCGAUAAGUAAUGUGAAUUGCAGAAUUCAGUGAAUCAUCGAAUCUUUGAACGCACAUUGCGCCCGCUAGUAUUCUGGCGGGCAUGCCUGACCGAGCGUCAUUUCAACCCUCAAGCCCCCGGGCUUGGUGUUGGGGAUCGGCGAGCCUCCGCGCCCGCCGUCCCCUAAAUCUAGUGGCGGUCUCGCUGUAGCUUCCUCUGCGUAGUAGCACACCUCGCACUGGGAAACAGCGCGGCCACGCCGUUAAACCCCCAACUUCUGAACGUUUGACCUCGGAUCAGGUAGGAAUACCCGCUGAACUUAAGCAUAUCAAUAAGCGGAGGA